ensembl:lncRNA
UGUUGUGUGUCUUGAAUAUGCAAUUUUAUGCAAAUUUCUUUAUGCACAGAAAGAAUGAAGCAAAGUAGUCUCUUAAUGUCCAGCCCUCCAUCCCUCAGGCUUCACAGUAGGAUCCUCACUUUUGGAACUGGAAUAUAACAUUAUGUUUCACUGCUUUUCUGAUUUUUGAGGAAGUGAGCAUGGAUUAACAGUUAAACGAUGCAAAUCUGCACUCUGACUGGCUUCUAGGUAUGUAAUUUACAGCAAACCUGAUGCUAGAAUCUCUAGUUUUUACAACAUUUAGAUGCAGAGCACAGGAGGCAGAGAGACUAUACACAGAGAGCAGCAGGUAGAGGAGGGGCAGAGCAGCAGGCAUCUGCUACACUCUGGGACAGGUGGUCUGGAGCAAAUAAAUGGAUUGUUUUGACAUUUUUACUUAGGUACGAGGAAGGUGAGUGCAGGGAGUAGAAAGAGCAGAGAUAUCUGGACUGAGAACCAUAAAAGCUUGGAAAAGACCACUAAGACUACCUAACUGAACUAUCAACCCACCACCACCACCUUGCCCACUAAACCGUGUCCCUCCAUUCCACAUUUACACAUCAUCUCCAGGGACAGCGACUUCACCACCUCCCUGAAUUUGGGGUUUGGAAUGAAAGAGGAAUUGGUGCAGUAUGAGAAGAAACACCUACAAUAAGUUCUCAGAAGCUGUAGCAAAUGUGUGCUCAUAACAAAGUUCACAGGGCAUCGAGUAUUAGUGCUACACAGGCAAUAUCAGAUUGAUGCAGAAGUCUACUUGAAUGGACAUCUUUGAAGAUUUUCUGACUUCAGAGACGUAUUUUUUUCUUAUUUUUUUUAAUUUGUUUUUUUUCCCCUCUAAAUAUUAAUUAUUUUAUUUUUCUGAUACCUCUACCGACAUUUUUUUUUUGUGUGUGUGUGUGCCUGUAGAAAGUAAGGAAAUAUAUAAGAUUCUGGAAGCCAGCAAAGUUGCUGAAGGAUUUGAGGUGAAGAAGUCUUAGAAUCAGAGUAACAAAAAUGAUCGUUUUCCAUCUAGAUAUUAGGGAUAGCCUACCCUGCAAUCUUGUCUGAGAGGUAUAAUAGAAAAGUCUGUUAAUUCUAACUAAAUGCUUGUAGCCAAAUCAUAGCUAUGACGGUUUUAAAAGGCGGCAAGUUCCUACUGAAAUUGUUUAAAACUUGACAAACCAAAUUAACAUGAAUAGCAAAUAGAAUUGUUUCUCUGCUAAGGACUUAUUUGCUGUGUAUUUCACCAAGUAGGCGUUAAUCUUAAGUAUUUU